UGCGGGUAAUUGUAAACGAUUAAACAUAGUAUCGAUGCCUGCACACAAGUAUCGAGUACAUAGUAUGCCCCUCACACAACUGACGUUGCGUCGAGUGCGCCAGUUCGUAGAAUUUGUGGCGAUUUUCUAGGAAACGAGCGCCAGAGCAACGUGCCUCGACAUGUUGCUCCGAUCAUCAGCGGGUGGGUCUGCGGGCAGCGGAGUGGAGAAGUGGAGAAUAGGAGAAGAGGAGCCGGGGGCAGUCGGCUGUAGAAAUGACGCAAUGUUUUUGAAAAUCAUCAACAGGCCCCAAGCAGCUGUCGUUUGUUUGGGGGCUUUUGUUUUGCUCGUCGCGUUUCGUUUUGGUUUCGCUUCGCGAAGCUGAAAGCAACAUCAAAUUGUAUACAUAUAAAAACUAAUGAUAAAUUCUACACACACACACACACACACACACACACACACACACACAAAGGGGCAGACUGCGAGGCUUUAACUUGAGCUCUGGGGCCCCCAUGUCAACAAUCAACAGUUUGCCAUAAAUUAUUUUCGCAAACAGUUCGCGCCAACCGAUGCGGCCCCAGGGAGCCAGCACACACACACACACACACACACACACACACACAAACGUUUGCAGUAUUGUACAAUAACAGUGUUGAUAAGCGACCAUAUGCACACACACACAAAUUCUAUGUACAUGCCCCUACGAUUGUCACACAAUCAAGCAUUGAGCAAGUUCCCCACCCGCGCCCCACUCUACGCAGCUCUCGAGUUUGAUAAAAAAAAAGUAUAUAUAUAUGUAUGUGGAGCUAUAUAUCUGUACUAUAUAAGGCGGGGUAAAUAAAACAGAGGCGUUAAGAACCCUGCUGGUGUCAGUUAGUAUUGGGAAAGGUUGGAAAGUGUUGUAAAUCAAUUAGCCAAAAGCGUUUCACAACAACAACAACAAUAACAAUAACUAGAGGAAGAAGAAGAUAGAGAAAAAACUAAGUCAAGAAACUGCGUCGCAGACGAUGCUCAACAAUGUUGUCCAAGUGCAUUCUGAAAGGGCAGCACGAGUUGAGACUGCGAAUGGAACUUGGCUCCGAAGGGGGAGGGGUAUCCAGUCUGGUUGUCGUUGUCGUUGUUGUUGUUGUUGUUGUUGUUGCAUUACCAAUAUGAUUUAUGGCUAAACAAAAUGCACAAAUGCUGUUACCAGCCAUUACGAUAGUCGUCUGCGAUUGCUGGCUCGUAAAUUACGAGCUACGAGGCGACUUCCCCCCCUCCCCCUUCCACGCUCAACAAAGUUCCGGAUGUUGCAACAACAGCUAAGCGAGGCAGAAGGCGUUGCUGUUGCAGCUAAUUUGUUGCUCCAAAGGGACAGCGGACAGCAGGUUUAAUGGAAAGCCAAGGAGGAACCCAAUAAUACGACUACCCUCAAUUAUUUAUCAUAAUUAAUAAACUAUAUAGAUUCAUCAAAAGCAAUAACUAUAGGACUAAGGACAAAUAACUGGAGGAUAAGUUAGACCAACAUAUAAUUACUAGAAUUCUCAUCGAUGAAAAACUCUAUUCCAAUACAGGAACAUGAAAAUUAGUAGCAGAAACAUAAAUCAAUUAAACAAAAGUAUUCAGCAAUAUCCGA